NNNUGCGAUCAUACCAGCACUAAAGCACCGGAUCCCAUCAGAACUCCGAAGUUAAGCGUGCUUGGGCGAGAGUAGUACUAGGAUGGGUGACCUCCUGGGAAGUCCUCGUGUUGCAUUCC
rnacentral:rRNA from 1 species